rnacentral:lncRNA from 1 species
GCAAAUACUGGCUUAUUAGAAUUUGCCUUUUUAAAAAGGGAAGAUUAGGUACUGAGUUCCAGUCCCAAUUUAGCUGGUGCGGAAAGUCUUCUGGUAACGGGGGUUAGUUCUGAUUACGUGUCACUUUUUGUUGCACUUUAACUGCAACAAAGAUGAAGGAUUAAACACAGGGUUUAUUAGGCCACCCCUAACCUUUACGCGACGUUUCUGAUAUUUCAAACGAGUCUUCGGUGCGGUCCAGUCCCCGGCCAUGAGCCUCCUGGAACCCCGCCGGCCGAGCAGGAAAACGAGGCGGUCCCCCGACCAGCCACAGCGCGCGGCACAGACUCGGACCGCCAGGCUCCCGCCGCCGGGGUUAGCCGGGCUCCGGCCUCCCUCGACCCCGAUGCCGGCAGGGAGGCGCCUCGGCGGGCAGGCCACUCACCAGGUCAGAAAGACCCCGGUCUUGCGGCCCCUCCUCACGGCAUAGAACAUCCCGAACCCGCGAGAGCCGCGGCGGCAGGGCACGGCGACCAAGGCGACUUUGUGGGCCAGGAACAGAAGCCAGCUCAUCGCUCACUCCCGGCACCGGGAAGCAUUUCGACUCCCGGCCCAGGGUGGGCGCGACCCGCCGGCGCUCACCACCCCACUUCCGUCACCGGCGCGGGAAGAUGACGCACGUCUGGGCGGAGUGCUGCUGAGGGCCGGGGCCUAGGGAGGGGCGGGGUCGUAGGGCGGAGCCCGGAGCUCGGCCCCUGACGAGCCCGAACUCGUCAACUUCCUGUCGGUACUUGAAGAAGCGGAGCCAGGGCUGAGAUCCCGAAGGCGGGCGAGGUCUGAGAUGGGGCGGGGCCUAUGGGAGCGGGGCUGAAGCCCUGGGCCCGGCAGAGGAAGGUCGAGAUGGACCAUGUUGGGCCCCUUCUCUCCCCGCCCCCAGGCCGCAGUUCGGGGGCCAAGCCCCGGCGUCCUCGGGUCACCGCGGGAAGCCCUUGAACCCCCUGGCGCCCGGCACCCACGUGCGGUAACCGCGGCUCCUCGAGAGCUCCAGGGAUGCGGAUCUGCAGUCCAUUCAAGAAUUGUGCCCACAAUAUACCAGGCACUUGUCCAGACCUGCAUCGUCCAAUGCCCACCUCAACCUCCCAAAGUGUUGGGAUUAGAGGCGUGAGCCACCACGCCCUGCCUGCAUGUGGCUAUUGAGAUGUGCUGUAUGAUACACACCGGACUUUGAAGACUCAGUGUGAAAAAUAAAAAGAAUUUUAAGAGGGUUGGGGGUCGAGGGGAGGCAGAGCAGUAGGACAAAUAGCUAAUGCACGCAGGGCUUAAAACGUAGACAACAGGUUGAUGGGUGCAGCAAACCACCAUGACACAUGUUUAUCUAUAUAGCACCUACAUGUUCUGCACUUGUAUCCUGGAACUUAAAAUUAGAAAAAAAUAAUAAUAAAAGCCAAC